GUUGCGUUGAACAUUACUUUGCGGCAGUUGUGUGUGGCAUUGCUAUGACGACCAGCUACAUUGAGGGUUACUAUCUUUGGGUACUAUAUCCAACGGAAAAUGGAGGACGGCGGGCCAACGCCGAGUCGAGCUGGUACCGCUUUGCAGGAUGGCGUUAGCUCAGUCUGUGGGGACUUGGCUGGAGAACCAAAGAGUCGCCGGUUUGAGUCCAGCAUGACCCACUGCUGAAGGCUCCGCUGAGUGAGGCACUGAACUCCUAAACUGCUCCCCGGGCACUGCACAAUGGCUGGAUGGAUGGAUGGGUUAAAUGCAGAAAACAAAAAAUUUCACAUUGGGACCAAUAAAGUAUAAUAAAUUAAUACUUUUAUACUCUAA